AUCAAAAACAUCGCCUUUGGAAAAUUAUCAAAAGGUCCUGCCUGCCCAGUGAUUGAAAAAUUAAACGGCUGCGGUACUCUGACCGUGCAAAGGUAGCAUAAUCAUUAGCCUAUUAAUUUUAGGCUAGAAUGAAUGGCAAGACGAAGGAAAAGCUGUCUCUUUCUAUUAAUUUUUAACUUUUCUUUUUGGUGAAGAGACCAAAAUAUAAAAGUGGGACGAGAAGACCCUAUUGAGUUUUAGUUAUUGAUUAGGAAAAAAUUUUUUUUAAUAACUUUGGUUGGGGCAACUGUUUAUAAAAUUAAACAUAAAAAAAAUAAAAAUUGAUUUAAAUCUUUAAUAUAUGUAAGACCUAGAAUUUUUCUAGAAUUAAAAAUAAUUACCAUAGGGAUAACAGCGUAAUUUCUUUUGAGAGUACAUAUUGACAAAGGAGUUUGCGACCUCGAUGUUGGAUCAAGUUUUCCUGGAGGUGUAGCAGUUUCCAAGGGUUGG
rnacentral:rRNA from 1 species